CCUGCACGGCUAGACCGCAGGUCGGGAUGUGAUCCGCGAGUACGGUACUCGAGUGAGGGACCGCCCCGAGGCGAUUGAACCAAGAA
rnacentral:ncRNA from 1 species